rnacentral:rRNA from 1 species
AGAACUUACAAGAUGCNUUGGUGNNUUCGGGAACUGUGAGACAGGUGCUGCAUGGCUGUCGUCAGCUCGUGUUGUGAAAUGUUGGGUUAAGUCUCCCGCGAAAGAGACGCCAAACUCUUAUUCUUUGUUGCCAGCGGUUCAGGCCGGGAACUCAAAGGAGACUGCCAGUGAUAAACUGGAGGAAGGUGGGGAUGACGUCAAGUCAUCAUGGCCCUUACGACCAGGGCUACACACGUGCUACAAUGGCAUAUACAAAGAGAAGCGACCUCGCGAGAGCAAGCGGACCUCAUAAAGUAUGUCGUAGUCCGGAUUGGAGUCUGCAACUCGACUCCAUGAAGUCGGAAUCGCUAGUAAUCGUAGAUCAGAAUGCUACGGUGAAUACGUUCCCGGGUCUUGUAACCCCG